rnacentral:rRNA from 1 species
UACGGGGGGGGGUAAGCGUUGUUCGGAAUUACUGGGCGUAAAGGGCUCGUAGGCGGCCAACUAAGUCAGACGUGAAAUCCCUCAGCUUAACUGGGGAACUGCGUCUGAUACUGGAUGGCUUGGAUUCGGGAGAGGAAUGCGGAAUUCCAGGUGUAGCGGUGAAAUGCGUAGAUAUCUGGAGGAACACCGGUGGCGAAGGCGGCAUUCUGGACCGAUAUUGACGCUGAGGAGCGAAAGCCAGGGGAGCCAAACGGG